rnacentral:ncRNA from 2 species
AUAGAAUACUAGGGGAGCUGAGCUGUCGGCUGAGAGGGAAAUAUGAGUUCCGACCCUUUGACCUGAACUAGGUAAUGCUAGCGGAGGGAAUAAAGUGCAUGCAUCG